GCCUCCGUGGCGCAAUUGGCUAGCGCGUUCGGCUGUUAACCGAAAGGUUGGUGGUUCGAGCCCACCUGGGGGCG
rnacentral:tRNA from 1 species